GAUGAACGCUGGCGGCGUGCCUAAUACAUGCCAGUCGAGCGAACAGACGAGGAGCUUGCUCCUUCGACGUUAGCGGCGGACGGGUGAGUAACACGUAGGUAACCUACCUAUAAGACUGGGAUAACUUCGGGAAACCGGAGCUAAUACCGGAUAAUAUUUCGAACCGCAUGGUUCGAUAGUGAAAGAUGGCUUUGCUAUCACUUAUAGAUGGACCUGCGCCGUAUUAGCUAGUUGGUAAGGUAACGGCUUACCAAGGCAACGAUACGUAGCCGACCUGAGAGAGUGAGCGCCCACGCUGGAGCGGGUGCCCGGUCCGGGCUCCUACGGGAGGCAGCAGUGGGGAAGGUUCCGCGGUGGGCGAGAGCCUGACGGAGCAACGCCGCGUGAGUGAUGAGGGCCUGCGGAUCGUGAAACUCUCUCAUUAGGGAAGAACAGGCGUGUAAGUAACUGUACACGUCUUGACGGUUCCUAAUCAGAGGGCCACUGCUAACUACGUG
rnacentral:rRNA from 1 species